rnacentral:rRNA from 1 species
AACGAACGCUGGCGGCAUGCCUAACACAUGCAAGUCGAACGAUUGCCUUCGGGUGAUAGUGGCGCACGGGUGCGUAACGCGUGGGAAUCUGCCCUUAGGUUCGGAAUAACAGCUGGAAACGGCUGCUAAUACCGGAUGAUAUCGCGAGAUCAAAGAUUUAUCGCCUGAGGAUGAGCCCGCGUUGGAUUAGGUAGUUGGUGGGGUAAAGGCCUACCAAGCCGACGAUCCAUAGCUGGUCUGAGAGGAUGAUCAGCCACACUGGGACUGAGACACGGCCCAGACUCCUACGGGAGGCAGCAGUGGGGAAUAUUGGAAAAUGGGCGCAAGCCUGAUCCAGCAAUGCCGCGUGAGUGAUGAAGGCCCUAGGGUUGUAAAGCUCUUUUACCCGGGAAGAUAAUGACUGCACCGGGAGAAUAAGCCCCGGCUAACUCCGCG